GGAGAAGCAACCGGUUUGUGAUACCCUAGUCAUGGAAAUUGGCUGGAAAGCCAGGAAAUCCAACCACAGAGCCAUUCCUUAAGCCUGAUACUUUGUUGUCCCAUAUCUG
rnacentral:lncRNA from 1 species